rnacentral:rRNA from 1 species
AGAGUUUGAUCAUGGCUCAGGAUGAACGCUAGCUACAGGCUUAACACAUGCAAGUCGAGGGGCAUCAGGAUGUAGCAAUACAUUGCUGGCGACCGGCGCACGGGUGAGUAACACGUAUCCAACCUGCCUUUUACUCGGGGAUAGGCUUUCGAAAGAAAGAUUAAUACCCGAUGGUAUAAUAUUUCCGCAUGGGAUUAUUAUUAAAGAAUUUCGGUAAAAGAUGGGGAUGCGUUCCAUUAGGCAGUUGGCGGGGUAACGGCCACCAAACCUUCGAUGGAUAGGGGUUCUGAGAGGAAGGUCCCCCACAUUGGAACUGGAGACACGGUCCAACUCCGUACGGGAGCA